UUGUGGAUGAUGAUGAAAGAAAAUAAUUAAUGCUAUAAAAUGGAGAUGUGUUUACAUGUUAAUUAGUCUUUUUAGAAACCUAAUCUUAUUUUAUCUCUCUCUCUUUUUGUCUUGUGUGUGAUGCCACCCCUCAGAUGGCGUCUUUUGGAUCCCAAAGCCCAGAUAUGGCAAUGACGUGGGUCCUUCCACCGAUUAAAGAUCCAUUUAUGUCACGCUUGAGCAUGUCUGGUGUGGCAUGCUGCCCGUUUCGAGAUCCCCCUGGCUCAUCCAGCAAUAACGACCAUUUUGAAAGGCAGUGGAAGCUGAUCUCUAUAUCAUCACCCCUGAAAUAUUUAUCCAUCUGAAGUCGUAGCAUCUCCACCAGGCCAUCAGCAUUGCAUCAUCCAUCAGAAAUGCCUCUGGCACCACAGUAAAGCUGGUCUCUAUGACUUGAAACCCAGCGCCGGAUCAACAGAUUCCCCAUCGGAAUAUAUAAUCUGUGGCGUAAUGAUGGACAAUGUGGGUUCUCACCUUUCUUUGUGGGCUCAGGCAUGUUGAGCCGUUCUCCGGUGGACCAGGC